GUUGUAGCUCAAUCUAUUCUUUACUUAAUGUAAUUCUGUUUGGCUCUUACAGUUGAAGAAUUGUAAAUGGAAAUAGGAAUUUAAACUUCAUCUCCUUCUAACUUCACUUGACUGAGAAAGGAAUUAAAUUGGUUCAAAGUAAUGCUGAUCAUCUGAUAUCUUUGACCUUUCCACAUAUCCUGCAUGGAAGGAGGAGGAAGAAAUAUUGGAACAGGUAUUGUGAAAAUGAACAUUGACAAUAGAAGACUUGCAAAAUAAUUCUGCAGUAUUGACUCAGAGUAGCGCAAAUCCAAAGGUGCAGGUAUUUUAAAGGCUCAUCCUUUGGACUCAUCCCUUCCCAUGGCUUCUGCAACAAGGCUGCACCACCUGUCC
rnacentral:lncRNA from 1 species